rnacentral:rRNA from 1 species
UACAGGGGGUGCAAACGUUGCUCGGAAUCAUUGGGCGUAAAGCGCACGUAGGCGGUUCGUUAUGUCGGAUGUGAAAGCCCUUGGCUUAACCGAGGAAGUGCAUCCGAAACUGGCGAGCUAGAGUACGAAAGAGGAUCGCGGAAUUCCCGGUGUAGAGGUGAAAUUCGUAGAUAUUGCCAGGAACACCAAUGGCGAAGGCAGCUUGCUGGGCCACUACUGACGCUCAGGCACGAAAGCGUGGGGAGCGAACAGG